AGUAAAGAUUCUUUUUUUAAAGCCUCUACUGAAGAUUUUAAAAAAAUACCAGGUAGUCCUAUUGCUGACUGAGCGGCGAAAGGGUGAGGAAUACAUUCCUAUGUACCCCAAGGUCGAGGAUAGCCAGGAGAAAUCCUGGGUAAUACUCGAUGUGGUCGCAAGAUCAAAGGUUUACCGCCUUGGGAGCGGGGAAUGUCCUAUCAGGUAGUUGGUGGGGUUACGGCUCACCAAGCCUAAGACGGGUAGCAGGUGUGAGAGCACGGCCUGCCACAUCGAAACUGAGACACUGUUCGGACUCCUACGGGAGGCUGCAGUAACGAAUCUUCCGCAAUGCGCGAAAGCGUGACGGGGUAAUGCCGCGUGCAGGAUGAAGCCCUUCGGGGUGUAAACUGCUGUCAGGGGUUAGGAAUACAUGACCAGCCCCAAAGGAAGAGCCGGCUAACUCUGUGCCAGCAGCCGCGGUAAUACAGAGGGCUCAAGCGUUAAUCGGAAUCACUGGGCUUAAAGCGUGCGUAGGCGGAUCUUCAGGCCCGUUGUGAAAUCCCACGGCUCAACCGUGGAACAGCGACGGGAACCGGAGAUCUUGAGUCAGGUAGAGGCAGGUGGAACGAUAGGUGGAGCGGUGAAAUGCGUAGAUAUCUAUCGGAACGCCAAAGGUGAAGACAGCCUGCUGGGCCUGUUCUGACGCUGAGGCACGAAAGCGUGGGUAGCAAACGGGAUUAGAUACCCCGGUAGUCCACGCCGUAAACGAUGCGCACUAGACUGAGGUGGCUUGACGCCUUCUCAGUCGUAGCAAAAGUGCUAAGUGCGCCGCCUGGGGAGUACGGUCGCAAGAUUAAAACUCAAAGGAAUUGACGGGGGCUCACACAAGCGGUGGAGCAUGUGGCUUAAUUCGAAGCAACGCGAAGAACCUUAUCCUAGGCUUGACAUGCACGUAUCAACUUCCUGAAAGGGAAGCCACUCCCGCAAGGGCGGAACGUGCACAGGUGCUGCAUGGCUGUCGUCAGCUCGUGCUGUGAAGUGUCGGGUUAAGUCCCUCAACGAGCGAAACCCCUAUCUCUAGUUGCCAUCAGGUCAUGCUGGGCACUCUGAAAGAACUGCCAGUGAUAAGCUGGAGGAAGGUGGGGAUGACGUCAAGUCCUCAUGGCCCUUACGGGUUGGGCUACACACGUGCUACAAUGGUAGUG
rnacentral:rRNA from 1 species